rnacentral:rRNA from 1 species
CUACGGGCGGCUCCAGUCGAGAAUCAUUCGCAAUGGGCGAAAGCCUGACGAUGCGACGCCGUGUGAACGAAGAAGGCCUUAGGGUUGUAAAGUUCUUUCGCUUGGGAGCAAGAGAAGUAGGUAAAUAAUCUACUGAUUUGAGAGUACCAGGUAAAGAAGCACCGGCUAACUCCGUGCCAGCAGCUGCGGUAAUACGGAGGGUGCAAGCAUUAAUCGGAUUAACUGGGCGUAAAGAGCACGUAGGCGGUACAGCAAGUCAGAUGUGAAAUUCCAUAGCUCAACUAUGGAGCUGCAUUUGAAACUGCUGAACUUGAGUAUAGGCGGAGAGAAUGGAAUUCCACGUGUAGCGGUGAAAUGCGUAGAUAUGUGGAAGAACACCGGUGGCGAAAGCGGUUUUCUAGCUUAUAACUGACGCUGAGGUGCGAAAGCAAGGGGAGCAAACAGGAUUAGAUACCCCCGUAGUC